rnacentral:rRNA from 1 species
UACGAAGGGGGCUAGCGUUGCUCGGAAUUACUGGGCGUAAAGGGCGCGUAGGCGGACAGUUUAGUCAGAGGUGAAAGCCCAGGGCUCAACCUUGGAAUAGCCUUUGAUACUGGCUGUCUUGAGUUCGGGAGAGGUGAGUGGAAUGCCGAGUGUAGAGGUGAAAUUCGUAGAUAUUGGGAAGAACACCAGUGGCGAAGGCGGCUCACUGGCCCGGUACUGACGCUGAGGUGCGAAAGCGUGGGGAGCAAACAGG